rnacentral:rRNA from 1 species
GAUGAACGCUGGCGGCGUGCCUAAUACAUGCAAGUCGAGCGAACAGACGAGGAGCUUGCUCCUCUGACGUUAGCGGCGGACGGGUGAGUAACACGUGGAUAACCUACCUAUAAGACUGGGAUAACUUCGGGAAACCGGAGCUAAUACCGGAUAAUAUAUUGAACCGCAUGGUUCAAUAGUGAAAGACGGUUUUGCUGUCACUUAUAGAUGGAUCCGCGCCGCAUUAGCUAGUUGGUAAGGUAACGGCUUACCAAGGCAACGAUGCGUAGCCGACCUGAGAGGGUGAUCGGCCACACGGGAACUUGGACACGGUCCAGACUCCUACGGGAGGCAGCAGUAGGGAAUCUUCCGCAAUGGGCGAAAGCCUGACGGAGCAACGCCGCGUGAGUGAUGAAGGUCUUCGGAUCGUAAAACUCUGUUAUUAGGGAAGAACAAAUGUGUAAGUAACUAUGCACGUCUUGACGGUACCUAAUCAGAAAGCCACGGCUAACUACGUG